rnacentral:rRNA from 1 species
UACGACGGGUGCAAACGUUGCUCGGAAUUAUUGGGCGUAAAGCGCACGUAGGCUGCUUUGUAAGUCGGAUGUGAAAUCCCUCGGCUUAACCAAGGAAGUGCAUCCGAAACUACAGAGCUUGAGUACUUAAGAGGAUCGCGGAAUUCCCGGUGUAGAGGUGAAAUUCGUAGAUAUCGGGAGGAACACCAGUGGCGAAGGCGGCGAUCUGGGAAGAUACUGACGCUGAGGUGCGAAAGCGUGGGGAGCAAACAGG